UCGGGUGUGGUGUACGGAACACCGCACGUCUUCUUGGUAUCGAUAAGAAGGGGAGUGCACAUGCGCAGGCCGGGGUUCGACUCCCCGCGCCCGAA